ensembl:processed_transcript 2610027K06Rik RIKEN cDNA 2610027K06 gene
GGGCGACCGAGGUCCCGGAGCCGAAUCAGGUGUCCGGAGCCGGUACUGGUGUCUGCAGCAGACAGGUGCCAACUGAGAAUGGAAGAGGGGACACUAUGAACUGCUCAGCUCAGCUCAGUGGCAGGGAACCACUAUGCAGGCCCAAGUGAACAAGAGCAGGGCUAGAUGGCCCUCAAGCUGGCACAUUAUGGAAAGGAUGAUGCAGAGGUGACAGAUCCCACAACGUCUCGGCUUGGUGACUCGGCCAUGGCAUCUGCAAGCCGUUCCCGGAGGCCCUCCUCUGAGUGCUCCAUGGAGGACAUAUGCCGCAGCCCGAAGCCCUCAGGCCAGCUCCCACACACCUCCAGCAGGGUCACGCUCCGGUCAAAGGCUGGCUCCCAAAGUAACUCCAUUCACCCGCCACACAACGUAGAAGAUGGUGUUCCACGAGUUAAUGGAAUUGGACAGCCCAUCAUCAAGUGACACACAGCCUUUAUCCCAGGGCAACGCAUCACGGACAGUUUUUAUAAUCAGGGGAAGAAUGGUUGAAGAGAGAAUGGGCCUGAGAAAAGCAUACAGGCUGGGCCAGGAGGCUGCUAAGCACUGGAGGGAGCCUGGACCUGCCCAGCUGGCUCCCUGGUAGUUCCUGCACAGGGCUUGCCUCAGUGGGAGGCAGGUGAGUUCGCAGCUCCGUGGCUGACUCUUCUCCCAGUGGCCACGGCUGGCUGCAUGCAAUGUUGACUCACCCCUGUGUACACACAUUAUUUCUCUUUAAAGUGUGUCAGGAAUGUGAACCAACUUGCACUGAAAGAUGGCGAAAACUGUUCUACCUUUGAACAAACUUCAUAUGCCAGGUCAGGAAGCGCCAGCACAACCCUGGAAGGAGUCCCAUCCCCCCACCUCAAUCCUCUGUAUGUUCAGGCACAGCUACCAAGGAACCAUCCUUCGAUGACCAGCCAGGGACAUGGGCCCUUUACACAUCACUAGGUCACUUACCAGAGCCCCUGUUGUCUGCCUGUGGGUCUGAGUAAGGUCCCAACACAGGCAGUUCCCAUGGCUCUAUAGUCACACAGUCCGGGGCUGCAGAGAACAGGAGAGCUCUGCAGACCAGGCAGUUGCUGGCCGUUUCCUGAGUUGGAAGCAAUGAUCUCCGUAGCUAGAUUGCAAAGGCACCAUUUCCUCCUGUAUGCUCUGGUCUGCUGCUGAGAUCUCGGGUCAGUGUCCACCAUGCGCCAUGUCACAUGUUCCUAUGUAGCAAGGCUGAACUCUCUGCUAUGCCGACUUAGGAACCUAGCAACUCCCUGGAUGGAAAAACUUCUCAGAACUAUGUAUUCCCAGGACAGCAAGUAUCCAUGCUGGUUUCCCUAGGACAGUUCUCAUAGCAAAGAAUAAGGUCUGGGAUCAGAGGGGUAUCAAAUGAAGAGAACAGACAUUCACUGAGCCUGUUGUGGGACAGAUACAGGCAGUUGCUUUAUGUAGACUGUCUCUCAAUCAGAGGCUGCCCACAGCUGAGACCGACUCUAUGACUUCCAAUUUACAGACUGAAGAACGGAGGCAGAGAGAGGCAGAAGGUGAUGGCGUGAGGGUACGGCCAGGAUUCUGGCUCCAGGUUCACCCAGAGCCAAAGCCUGUACUUUUCCCCACUAAGACCUUUGAUUGGAUUCAGUUUGGGUGAGACCGGAGCAUACCCACUAAAAAUACAGCUGUGACAUACAGCUGCAGUGCCAGCAAGGGGCUUGAUUUCCUCUUUUGGCAACAAGCAUUUCCCACUGAGCCACACCCCUAGAGUUUUCAAACUACUCCAGAGUUUGAAAGUGGUUCUUGCAGCUGGGCACUGGGAGUAUGAUUUCUGUUCCCUACAGCAAAGCUGAUGUGAAGUGCUCAGCUGGGAACUCUGAGGUCAAACCUGGAGCUGAGAAGUCUUCUGCUUGCACACUCAAGGAUGAUGUUUUAAAACCAUCAGUAUCGGCAGGGAAAGAUGCUUGCUGUCAAGCCUGAUAAACGGAGUUCAAUGCCCACAUGGUAGAAGGAAAGCAUCCACUUCUAUUAAUUGGCCUCUGACCUCUACAUAAGCAUUCCAUGGCACUCCCCCAACUCCCAAAUAAAAUGUUAAAAA